rnacentral:rRNA from 1 species
AGUGGCGGACUGGUGAGUAACACGUAAGCAACCUGCCUAUCAGAGGGGAACAACAGUUAGAAAUGACUGCUAAUACCGCAUAUGCCUAAGUACCACAUGGUACAAUAGGGAAAGGAGCAAUCCGCUGAUAGAUGGGCUUGCGUCUGAUUAGUUAGUUGGCAGGGUAACGGCCUACCAAGACAACGAUCAGUAGCCGGCUUGAGAGAGUGGACGGCCACAUUGGGACUGAGACACGGCCCAAACUCCUACGGGAGGCAGCAGUGGGGAAUAUUGCACAAUGGGGGAAACCCUGAUGCAGCGACGCCGCGUGAAGGACGAAGUAUUUCGGUACGUAAACUUCUAUCGGCAGGGAAGAAAAUGACGGUACCUGACCAAGAAGCCCCGGCUAACUACGUGCCAGCAGCCGCGGUAAUACGUAGGGGGCAAGCGUUAUCCGGAUUUACUGGGUGUAAAGGGAGCGUAGACGGCCAUGCAAGUCUGAUGUGAAAACCCGGGGCUCAACCCCGGGACUGCAUUGGAAACUGUGCGGCUGGAGUGUCGGAGAGGCAAGUGGAAUUCCUAGUGUAGCGGUGAAAUGCGUAGAUAUUAGGAGGAACACCAGUGGCGAAGGCGGCUUGCUGGACGACGACUGACGUUGAGGCUCGAAAGCGUGGGGAGCAAACAGGAUUAGAUACCCUGGU